AUUGAACGCUGGCGGAAUGCUUUACACAUGCAAGUCGAGCGGCAGCGCGGGGCAACCUGGCGGCGAGCGGCGAACGGGUGAGUAACACAUCGGAACGUGCCCAGACGUGGGGGAUAGCCCGGCGAAAGCCGGAUUAAUACCGCAUACGAUCUGAGGAUGAAAGCGGGGGAUCGCAAGACCUCGCGCGUUUGGAGCGGCCGAUGGCAGAUUAGGUAGUUGGUGGGGUAAAGGCUUACCAAGCCUGCGAUCUGUAGCUGGUCUGAGAGGAUGAUCAGCCACACUGGGACUGAGACACGGCCCAGACUCCUACGGGAGGCAGCAGUGGGGAAUAUUGCGCAAUGGACGGAAGUCUGACGCAGCGACGCCGCGUGAGCGACGAAGGCCUUCGGGUCGUAAAGCUCUGUUCUUGAGGACGAAUAAGCCAGGGAGUGGAAGCCCUGGUGAUGACUGUACUCAAGGAGAAAGCUCCGGCUAACUACGUGACC
rnacentral:rRNA from 1 species